CUCAGCGCUCUGACGCAGUCUGAUGGAGCACGCCGCGUGAGUGAAGAAGGGUUUCGGCUCGUAAAGCUCUGUUGUUAAAGAAGAACGUGGGUGAGAGUAACUGUUCACCCAGUGACGGUAUUUAACCAGAAAGCCACGGCUAACUACGUGCCAGCAGCCGCGGUAAUACGUAGGUGGCAAGCGUUAUCCGGAUUUAUUGGGCGUAAAGCGAGCGCAGGCGGUCUUUUAAGUCUAAUGUGAAAGCCUUCGGCUCAACCGAAGAAGUGCAUUGGAAACUGGGAGACUUGAGUGCAGAAGAGGACAGUGGAACUCCAUGUGUAGCGGUGAAAUGCGUAGAUAUAUGGAAGAACACCAGUGGCGAAGGCGGCUGUCUGGUCUGUAACUGACGCUGAGGCUCGAAAGCAUGGGUAGCGAACAGGAUUAGAUACACCCAGUAGUCAAA
rnacentral:rRNA from 1 species